GACGAACGCUGGCGGCGUGCCUAAUACAUGCAAGUUGAGCGCUGAAGGUUGGUACUUGUACCAACUGGGUGAGCAGCGAACGGGUGAGUAACGCGUGGGGAAUCUGCCUUUGAGCGGGGGACAACAUUUGGAAACGAAUGCUAAUACCGCAUAAAAACUUUAAACACAAGUUUUAAGUUUGAAAGAUGCAAUUGCAUCACUCAAAGAUGAUCCCGCGUUGUAUUAGCUAGUUGGUGAGGUAAAGGCUCACCAAGGCGAUGAUACAUAGCCGACCUGAGAGGGUGAUCGGCCACAUUGGGACUGAGACACGGCCCAAACUCCUUCGGGAGGCAGCAGUAGGGAAUCUUCGGCAAUGGACGAAAGUCUGACCGAGCAACGCCGCGUGAGUGAAGAAGGUUCUCGGAUCGUAAAACUCUGUUGGUAGAGAAGAACGUUGGUGAGAGUGGAAAGCUCAUCAAGUGACGGUAACUACCCAGAAAGGGACGGCUAACUACGUG
rnacentral:rRNA from 1 species